rnacentral:rRNA from 1 species
UACGUAGGGUGCGAGCGUUAAUCGGAAUUACUGGGCGUAAAGCGUGCGCAGGCGGUUUUGUAAGCCAGAUGUGAAAUCCCCGGGCUUAACCUGGGAAUGGCAUUUGGGACUGCAAGGCUGGAGUGCGGCAGAGGAGACUGGAAUUCCUGGUGUAGCAGUGAAAUGCGUAGAUAACGUAAGGAAGACCAGUGGCGAAGGCGGGUCUCUGGACAGUUCCUGACGCUGAGGCACGAAGGUCAGGGGAGCAAACGGG